GUGCUCACUUCAGCAGUACAUAGACAAAAACUGGAACGACACAGAAGAGAUUAAAACGGCACCUGUGGAAGGAUUACACACAAAUACAAGCAUUCCACAUUUUU